AGGAAACUACGAGGCUUGUCCUAGCGGCGGACGGGUGAGUAACGCGUGAGCAACCAACCUUGUACAGGGGGAUAACAGCUGGAAACAGCUGCUAAUACCGCAUAAGACUACGGCAGCGCAUGCUGUUGUAGUAAAAGGUGCCGCAAGGUGCCGGUACAAGACGGGCUCGCGUCCCAUUAGCUAGUUGGUGGGGUAACGGCCUACCAAGGCGACGAUGGGUAGCCGGCCUGAGAGGGUGUACGGCCACACUGGGACUGAGACACGGUCCAGACUCCUACGGGAGGCAGCAGUGGGGGAUAUUGCGCAAUGGGGGAAACCCUGACGCAGCGACGCCGCGUGGGUGAGGAAGGCCUUCGGGUCGUAAAGCCCUGUCCCUGGGGACGAAGUGAUGACGGUACCUAGGGAGGAAGCCCCGGCUAACUACGUGCCAGCAGCCGCGGUAAUACGUAGGGGGCGAGCGUUGUCCGGAGUUACUGGGCGUAAAGGGUGCGUAGGCGGCCCACCAAGUCAGGUGUGGAAGGUCCUGGCUCAACCGGGGUAUUGCACUUGAAACUGGUGGGCUUGAGUGCAGGAGAGGGAAGUGGAAUUCCUGGUGUAGCG
rnacentral:rRNA from 1 species